rnacentral:rRNA from 1 species
CCCAGACUCCUACGGGAGGCAGCAGUGGGGAAUAUUGCACAAUGGGGGGAACCCUGAUGCAGCGACGCCGCGUGGGCGAGGAAGUAUUUCGGUAUGUAAAGCCCUAUCGGCAGGGAAGAAGAAAUGACGGUACCUGAGUAAGAAGCCCCGGCUAACUACGUGCCAGCAGCCGCGGGAAUACGUAGGGGGCAAGCGUUAUCCGGAUUUACUGGGUGUAAAGGGAGCGUAGACGGCAUGGCAAGUCAGAUGUGAAAGCCCGGGGCUCAACCCCGGGACUGCAUUUGAAACUGUCAGGCUGGAGUGCAGGAGAGGUAAGUGGAAUUCCUAGUGUAGCGGUGAAAUGCGUAGAUAUUAGGAGGAACACCAGUGGCGAAGGCGGCUUACUGGACUGUAACUGACGUUGAGGCUCGAAAGCGUGGGGAGCAAACAGGAUUAGAUACCCGGGUA